GUACAUGUAAUACUACUACCAAAAUAACGUAACUGUGUGACCUCUGGCAUUAAAAAGCUCUGUAAGACUGUUUACUUAGCUAUGAAAUACAGACAGUAGCUGUUCCAUAUACCUUCUGAGGUGGUCAGGAUAGAGAUGUGAAUGUAUCUUAUUUAACUAUAAAGCAAUUUGAGUUAUGGGACUAGAAUUUGGGCAAAAUGUUACACUGAAGUAUGUAUCUGGGUUACUAACGGAUGAUUACAGCUACAUGGGCAUAAAAGUUUUAUGUUGUCUAUGUGUUUUAUUCUAUGUGAGUGUGAAACUAACUUAAACCAGGGAAGGUAAAAAAAUGAGUAGUGAGGGUGUCAAAUGUCCUAGAGAUCAUCAGAGUCGAUUGAGAAUAGAAAAGAAUUAUAGACAUGACAAUUAGGUCUCUGCUAAUCCGGGAAGCAGUAAGUUUUCACUACGUAAUAUUCGAGGAAUUUGACACAGAUAUAAAAUGAACAAAACGAGUAUUUCAGUGCUUACCCACUAAGAGCUUUCCCAAAUGUCAUUCAAUGAAUGUUCAACAGCAAGCCUAUGAGGUAGACAUUCUUCCUAUUCGCCAGACGGCCAAAUCAAGACUGUGCAAAGCUCUAGGGAUCAAGACCUUUUCCUGUGAAGUGCCAGCUAACAAAAGCCUAAAGGCUUUGUGGGCCACAGUCUGUCACAACUACUCAACUCCGAUGUUGUAGCACAAAAGGAGCCCUAGAUAAGACAUGAAUAAACAUGGCUGUCUUCUAGUAAAGUUUUACUUACAAAAACAGGUGUCUCACCAGGUUGGGCCCAUGGGCUAUAUUGUUUGCCGACCCCUACCCUGAACACAAUUCUUCUAACCCAAAACCCAGCAUUCUCUGCAUUACACCAGAUAAUACAAUUAACUAGUCUAAUGGUCCCUUUUCAAAGUAUACUGUUCAAGCCAUAGACACAUUCUUUAAUGGCACCAGUGUGGAACAUACCCACAUUUCUAAUGUAUAGAGGAAGAAGCAAAAAGCAGCUCAUUAAUGUCUUGGAAAACAGGGUUUAGACUAAGAUUGAAUUUGAGUCAGGGUAUCUUGGUUGUGGCUUCGGCUACAUUGCUAGGGUUUUUUCACUUUCAACAACCUAGUAGGUGUUAA
rnacentral:lncRNA from 1 species